rnacentral:ribozyme from 1 species
UGCAGACUAUAUCUUUUAAAGGUCAGUUGCUGGUGGUAAGUGCUCUGCAAUGGGAUGGGAUCUCAAUCCGUCCUCGUCGUGUACAGUGGUAACAAGUACCAAGUUAACUUAGCUUAGGUACACGCGCUAGAUCUAACCUCUUGGGCAUAUGGCGAACUAGGAGGCG